CAACCCAGUCUUUACCCUGACUUCACAAUGUGCAUCUGCCACUGGUUAGGGAAGUGACAUCAUGCUAUACAUAGGAGUCUUGGGAUGAUUUCAGCAGCAUCAGAAAGACCCAGAUGCCUCAUUCACUUGAAUUAUCAUUCUCUGGUUCAGAGAGAAGAAACAAAGAAUAGAGCACAGUGCUUUUCUAGGAAAAUUGGUUUAACUGAAGAGAAGAAGUCUUUGAUCUAACAAUACACUUUCAAAGCAGAUGUGGACUCCAUUCUACAGAUAAAAACCUCUGAAUGAAUGGUUGCUCUGGGUGAGAAGUAAACCAUGCAGCAACUGCCAAUGGGAACCAGGUCCAAGAAUAUUCUCAGAGCUACAGCAUUUCUGUAUUUCUGUAGCUUCGGAAACACCCUCAGGGUUGGAACUAGGAGGGGGAAAAAAGGAAGAAAAAAAAUCCCUCUGUUAAGUUGUGUAGAUAACUCCUCUAACACUUGCUUCUGGCAAGUUCCCAUGGGGGUGUGAAGCCUUAUCUCAUCCAAUCUGCCUUCAAGCCAGCUGCCUCUGGGACUGCUCUGUACCAGCUGCCUCUCAUCAGUCUGCUGGCCAUUUUGUCCAACAUAUCUAUUCUGCUGCAUUUCAGAGGAAGAGAAAAGGCAAAUGAUUA